AGUUCCCAUAUGAUCAUUGAAGUUAAGCAAUGUCUAUCCUGGCCAGUACCUAGAUGGGUGACCACUUGGGAAUACCAGGUGCUGUAAG